GCACUCACGUGACGUCGGAGUUUUCUGGUUUCAGCCUUGUAAACAGUGUUCACGGUCAACCACCAAGUCGUAAAUAGUAAUUAUGAAACUCUGAAGAGCCACAUCAAAUGCGAUGGUGUCCCUCAAUAAUACGGAUGUGCCUGAAAACGAUGACGUGAUCGUUCGCGAGGCGUUACGGAGCGCGCUGCAUCCGGUUCACAUCUCUCCCACCGUGGCACGUGACCUGAACGCUACAUAAACAACGGGAGUCCGUCGCGUCUCUGUUGGAGGAGCGAGAAGUUGUUGUUUUAUUUUAUCCUCGUGGACGUUUCACGAGCUUCAAAGUAACUCCGGAGGGUUUUCCCGGGUCUCAGUCUCCGGGAUGAUCCGAGGAGGACUCGCCGAUGUGGCUGGCUGCUCUCAUGGAGCUAACACACGGAUGCUCUGAGGCUUGAGUCGGGAUGUUUUCAACCAACAUGGAAACCAAACGAGUGGAGAUCCCCACCGGCUUGCUGGACGACCUGUGCAGCCGGUUCAUCCUGCACAUCCCCAGUGAGGAGAGGGACAACGCCAUCCGGGUGUGCUUCCAGAUCGAGCUGGCCCACUGGUUCUACCUGGACUUCUGCAUGCAGAACACGCCGGAGCUCCGCACUGCGGCAUCAGAGACUUCGCCAAGGCGGUGUUCCACCACUGUCCUUUCCUGCUGCCUCACGGGGAAGAUGUCCAGAAGAUCCUGGAGCAGUGGAAGGAGUACAAGAUGGGCGUCCCCACCUUCGGAGCAAUCAUGCUGGACGAAGCUCUGGAAAACUUUUCCGUGUUAACGGAUCAGGCCAGUGUCAUUCUACAUGAACCAAUAGCAGAGCUGCUGUAGCUGGAGGCGGAGCUUAAUCACGAGGCCGCGAUAUGAACGUUGUAAAACUCAGAUGAAUAGGACAUCUCGUCUGGUUCGGUGCCUUCCAAGACGGACUGCGUCAUGUGCUUCGGCCCCAUCGUGCCCGACGGGUACGGCGUGUGCUACAACCCGAUGGAAGACCACAUCAACUUCGCCGUGUCGUCCUUCAACGCCUGUAAAGACACGGACGCGGCGCGUCUGGCCCGGUCCGUGGAGGAGGCCCUGCUGGACAUGAGGACCCUGCUGGACCAAUCACCAAGAGCCAAACUGUGAAGCUCCCUCCAGGCUCUUCCCGGAUGUAGGGAGCCCCGCCCCCUUUUGUGUGAUUGACUGAACCCCACACACACACACACACGUCUGAGCCAGUCUUCUCCCCAUGGUAGUGAUGGUUGUUGAAAUAUUAUACAUAAGAACAUUUCUCUAAUUUUUUAACUUAAAUCCAUUUCAUUUGAAACCUUCAAAAUAAAAGCACAGGAUUUUUGUUCUUCUUUUUUUUAAGAAAAGGUGAUCAUAUGUCUUAAAAUGACGUAGUGGGCCGGAUUCGGGCCGCGGGCCUUGUGUUUGACACCUGUGCUCUAGUGGAACAACGCUCACGCACAAGCUAUUAAUAACUUCUUCUUUAACCGACAGAAAUGUAAUUAACAGAAAUUGUGUCGAUUGAUAUUUGAUCAUUUUAUGAUGAAAUGUGUGCCUUCCCAUGCAGAGGUCAGAGGUUCUGAACUCAUUGUUUUGGGAGAAAUCUUUGAAACAGAAAUUCUGCAUUUUGACAUUUAGAAUAAAUCCAGAAUAUUUGGUACUCUUUUUUUUUUAAGUAUCUGAUUGUAUUGGCCAGUUAUAGAUUCCUCUGAUUGUGGAUGCACAUAAAUGCAGCUGAAGACGGAGACGACAAAAUGGAAUAAGACAAAAGACAAUACUACGUCUGUAACGGUGCACAUAAGCUGGAGUAGAUAUUAAAUGUAAUACGUGAAUAUGAGCCGUCUGCUCAGUGUGAACAGGAGACGAUUACAUCACAGCAUAUCAGCUGUUGAAGGUCUAUUUAAAUUCUCCUCAUUAGCGAUCCAAUGGGGCUGAUGGUCUUUAUUAUUGUUUUAUUUUCCAGUGAAUAUGUCAUCCAUGUUUGUUGCAGGUUAGCAUACAGGUGUAAUUAUUCUGGAUGUUCUAGCAAGAAAAGUGCAUCAUAUGGAGUGUAAUUAAAUGCAAAUAUUUCAAA